rnacentral:rRNA from 1 species
GUGAACGCUGGCGGUAGGCCUAACACAUGCAAGUCGAACGGCAGCACAGUAAGAGCUUGCUCUUACGGGUGGCGAGUGGCGGACGGGUGAGGAAUACAUCGGAAUCUACUUUUUCGUGGGGGAUAACGUAGGGAAACUUACGCUAAUACCGCAUACGACCUACGGGUGAAAGUAGGGGAUCUUCGGACCUUGCGCGUUUGAAUGAGCCGAUGUCGGAUUAGCUAGUUGGCGGGGUAAAGGCCCACCAAGGCGACGAUCCGUAGCUGGUCUGAGAGGAUGAUCAGCCACACUGGAACUGAGACACGGUCCAGACUCCUACGGGAGGCAGCAGUGGGGAAUAUUGGACAAUGGGCGCAAGCCUGAUCCAGCCAUACCGCGUGGGUGAAGAAGGCCUUCGGGUUGUAAAGCCCUUUUGUUGGGAAAGAAAAGCAGCAGGUUAAUACCCCGCUGUUCUGACGGUACCCAAAGAAUAAGCACCGGCUAACUUCGUG